AUGGCGGCAACAUUUCCUAACGUGAGCAUGAUCGUGCAUCGUCCCAGGACGAGGAAAGAAAUCGUUGUCCAGGCGCCUGUUGAUGAACCAGAGGACAAGCCUAUGAUUGUGGGCCACAAAGGCAAGGGGCCUGCUGUUGACGUGGUCUACCGCAGGUGCAGCAGACAGACAACCAUGCAUGAGGUGCUCAGAGUGGCAUGUUCUUCCUCUAGAGAUCAUAUGCCUGUCCAUCAUCCCGUGGUUGCGCCUGUAGACACUCAUAUGACUGAAGUUGUGCCGGAUGCUUUGCAGAUGCAAAAUGAUCAACUUGCGAGAAUUGCCAUGACCACACGAAUAGGGAACAGGAGGUUGGCACUGCCUGAUAAUGGGGAACAAAGCAACCCGGUUCCUCUUAGUUAG
rnacentral:rRNA from 1 species